AUUGAACGCUGGCGGCAUGCCUUACACAUGCAAGUCGAACGGUAACGCGGGGCAACCUGGCGACGAGUGGCGAACGGGUGAGUAAUGCAUCGGAACGUGCCCGGUAGUGGGGGAUAACUGCUCGAAAGAGCAGCUAAUACCGCAUACGACCUGAGGGUGAAAGGGGGGGAUCGCAAGACCUCUCGCUAUCGGAGCGGCCGAUGUCGGAUUAGCUAGUUGGUGGGGUAAAAGCCCACCAAGUGGACGAUCCGUAGCUGGUCUGAGAGGACGACCAGCCACACUGGGACUGAGACACGGCCCAGACUCCUACGGAAGGCAGCAGUGGGGAAUUUUGGACAAUGGACGCAAGUCUGAUCCAGCCAUGCCGCGUGCGGGAAGAAGGCCUUCGGGUUGUAAACCGCUUUUGUCAGGGAAGAAAUCUUCUGAGUUAAUACCUCGGGAGGAUGACGGUACCUGAAGAAUAAGCACCGGCUAACUACGUGCCAGCCGCCGCAGUAA
rnacentral:rRNA from 1 species